GACGGAACACGUGAAAUUCCGUCGGAAUCUGGGAGGACCAUCUCCUAAGGCUAAAUACUCUCUAGUGACCGAUAGUGAACCAGUACCGUGAGGGAAAGGUGAAAAGCACCCCGGAAGGGGAGUGAAAUAGAACCUGAAACCGUGUGCUUACAAGUAGUCAGAGCCCGUUAAUGGGUGAUGGCGUGCCUUUUGUAGAAUGAACCGGCGAGUUACGAUUUGAUGCAAGGUUAAGCAGUAAAUGUGGAGCCGUAGCGAAAGCGAGUCUGAAUAGGGCGUUUAGUAUUUGGUCGUAGACCCGAAACCAGGUGAUCUACCCUUGGUCAGGUUGAAGUUCAGGUAACACUGAAUGGAGGACCGAACCGACUUACGUUGAAAAGUGAGCGGAUGAACUGAGGGUAGCGGAGAAAUUCCAAUCGAACCUGGAGAUAGCUGGUUCUCUCCGAAAUAGCUUUAGGGCUAGCCUCAAGUGAUGAUUAUUGGAGGUAGAGCACUGUUUGGACGAGGGGCCCCUCUCGGGUUACCGAAUUCAGACAAACUCCGAAUGCCAAUUAAUUUAACUUGGGAGUCAGAACAUGGGUGAUAAGGUCCGUGUUCGAAAGGGAAACAGCCCAGACCACCAGCUAAGGUCCCAAAAUAUAUGUUAAGUGGAAAAGGAUGUGGCGUUGCCCAGACAACUAGGAUGUUGGCUUAGAAGCAGCCAUCAUUUAAAGAGUGCGUAAUAGCUCACUAGUCGAGUGACACUGCGCCGAAAAUGUACCGGGGCUAAACAUAUUACCGAAGCUGUGGAUUGUCCUUUGGACAAUGGUAGGAGAGCGUUCUAAGGGCGUUGAAGCAUGAUCGUAAGGACAUGUGGAGCGCUUAGAAGUGAGAAUGCCGGUGUGAGUAGCGAAAGACGGGUGAGAAUCCCGUCCACCGAUUGACUAAGGUUUCCAGAGGAAGGCUCGUCCGCUCUGGGUUAGUCGGGUCCUAAGCUGAGGCCGACAGGCGUAGGCGAUGGAUAACAGGUUGAUAUUCCUGUACCACCUAUAAUCGUUUUA
rnacentral:rRNA from 1 species